rnacentral:rRNA from 1 species
ACAGGAUUAGAUACCCUGGUAGUCCACGCCGUAAACGAUGUCGACUUGGAGGCUGUUCCCCUGAGGAGUGGCUUCCGGAGCUAACGCGUUAAGUCGACCGCCUGGGGAGUACGGCCGCAAGGUUAAAACUCAAAUGAAUUGACGGGGGCCCGCACAAGCGGUGGAGCAUGUGGUUUAAUUCGAUGCAACGCGAAGAACCUUACCUACUCUUGACAUCCACGGAAUUCGGCAGAGAUGCCUUAGUGCCUUCGGGAACCGUGAGACAGGUGCUGCAUGGCUGUCGUCAGCUCGUGUUGUGAAAUGUUGGGUUAAGUCCCGCAACGAGCGCAACCCUUAUCCUUUGUUGCCAGCGAUUCGGUCGGGAACUCAAAGGAGACUGCCGGUGAUAAACCGGAGGAAGGUGGGGAUGACGUCAAGUCAUCAUGGCCCUUACGAGUAGGGCUACACACGUGCUACAAUGGCGCAUACAAAGAGAAGCGACCUCGCGAGAGCAAGCGGACCUCAUAAAGUGCGUCGUAGUCCGGAUCGGAGUCUGCAACUCGACUCCGUGAAGUCGGAAUCGCUAGUAAUCGUGGAUCAGAAUGCCACGGUGAAUACGUUCCCGGGCCUUGUACACACCGCCCGUCACACCAUGGGAGUGGGUUGCAAAAGAAGUAGGUAGCUUAACCUUCGGGAGGGCGCUUACCACUUUGUGAUUCAUGACUGGGGUGAAGUCGUAACAAGGUAGC